rnacentral:rRNA from 1 species
UAGAGUUUGAUGCCUGGCUCAGAACUAACGCUGGCGGCGUGUCUUAGUCAUGCAAGUCGAACGAGAAAGCACCCUUCGGGGUGUGAGUACAGUGGCGGACGGGUGAGUAACACGUGGAGAACCUGCCCUUAAGUUGGGAAUAACUCGCCUAACGGCGAGCUAAUACCGAAUGUGGUCUGACCCUCGCAUGGGGGUUUGACUAAAGAUGGCCUCUUCUUGAAAGCUAUCGCUUAAGGAUGGCUCCGCGCUCGAUUAGCUAGUUGGCAGGGUAACGGCCUACCAAGGCUUCGAUCGAUAGCCGACCUGAGAGGGUGAUCGGCCACACUGGGAUUGAGAUAAGGCCCAGUCUCCUACGGGAGCCAGCAGUCUAGAAAUUUGGGCAAUGGGCGAAAGCCUGACCGAGCGACGCCGUGAGCGAAGAAGGCCCUAUGGGUUGUAAAGCUCUGUCAGAUUGGGAAGAAAGCUUUGCGGUUAAUACCCGUGAAGUUUGACGGUACCAUCAGAGGAAGCACCGGCUAACUCCGUGCCAGCAGCCGCGGUAAUACGGAGGGUGCAAGCGUUGUUCGGAUUCACUGGGUAUAAAGGGUGCGCAGGCGGCCUGAUAAGUCAGGGGUGAAAUAUGUCGGCUCAACCGGCAAACGGCCCCUGAAACUGUCAGGCUUGAGUUCGAGAGAGGUAGGUGGAAUUCCAGGUGUAGCGGUGAAAUGCGUAAAUAUCUGGAGGAACACCGGUGGCGAAGGCGGCCUACUGGCUCGAUACUGACGCUCAGGCACGAAAGCAUGGGGAGCGAACGGGAUUAGAUACCCCGGUAGUCCAUGCCGUAAACGAUGGGUACUAGGUGUUGGAGGAUUCUACCCCUUCAGUGCCGCAGCUAACGCAUUAAGUACCCCACCUGGGGAGUACGAUCGCAAGGUUGAAACUCAAAGGAAUUGACGGGGGCCCGCACAAGCGGUGGAGCAUGUGGUUUAAUUCGAUGCAACGCGAAGAACCUUACCUGGACUUGACAUGUGCCUGAAAGCCCUAGAGAUAGGGCCCCUCUUCGGAGCGGGUUCACAGGUGCUGCAUGGCUGUCGUCAGCUCGUGUCGUGAGAUGUUGGGUUAAGUCCCGCAACGAGCGCAACCCUUGUCCUUAGUUGCCAGCAGGUAAUGCUGGGCACUCUAGGGGUACUGCCGGUGAUAAAUCGGAGGAAGGCGGGGAUGAUGUCAAGUCCUCAUGGCCUUUAUGUCCAGGGCUACACACGUGCUACAAUGGCCGGUAUAAAGGGUUACAAUACCGCGAGGUGGAGUUAAUCUCUAAAAGCCGGUCUCAGUUCGGAUUGCAGUCUGCAACUCGACUGCAUGAAGGUGGAAUCGCUAGUAAUCGCGGAUCAGCAUGCCGCGGUGAAUAUGUUCCCAGGCCUUGUACACACCGCC